AACGAACGCUGGCGGCACGCUUAACACAUGCAAGUCGAACGAACUCUUCGGAGUGAGUGGCAGACGGGUGCGUAACACGUGGGAACCUACCUAGUAGUACGGAAUAACGUCGAGAAAUUGAUGCUAAUACCGUAUACGCCCUUCGGGGGAAAGAUUUAUCGCUAUUAGAUGGGCCCGCGGCUGAUUAGUUUGUUGGUGGGGUAAAAGCCUACCAAGACUACGAUCAGUAGCUGGUCUGAGAGGAUGAUCAGCCACACUGGAACUGAGACACGGUCCAGACUCCUACGGGAGGCAGCAGUGGGGAAUAUUGGACAAUGGGCGAAAGCCUGAUCCAGCGAUGCCGCGUGAAUGAUGAAGGCCUUAGGGUUGUAAAAUUCUUUCGAUGGUGAAGAUAAUGACGGUAACCAUUAAAGAAGCCCCGGCUAAUUUCG
rnacentral:rRNA from 1 species